rnacentral:rRNA from 1 species
ACUCAAAUGAAUUGACGGGGGCCCGCACAAGCGGUGGAGUAUGUGGUUUAAUUCGACGCAACGCGAAGAACCUUACCAGGGCUUGACAUCCCCUGCUCGCUAUGGAAACAUAGAAUUCUAGCUUCGGUUAGACAGGGAGACAGGUGGUGCAUGGUUGUCGUCAGCUCGUGUCGUGAGAUGUUGGGUUAAGUCCCGCAACGAGCGCAACCCUUAUCUUUAGUUGCCAUCAGGUAAUGCUGGGCACUCUAGAGAGACUGCCGGUGACAAACCGGAGGAAGGUGGGGAUGACGUCAAAUCAUCAUGCCCCUUAUGUCCUGGGCUACACACGUACUACAAUGGCCGGUACAAAGGGCUGCGAAAGGGCGACCUGGAGCAAAUCCCAUCAAAGCCGGUCCCAGUUCGGAUUGUAGUCUGCAACUCGACUACAUGAAGUCGGAAUCGCUAGUAAUCGCAGGUCAGCAUACUGCGGUGAAUACGUUCCCGGGCCUUGUACACACCGCCCGU